CGGCGUGCUUAACACAUAGCAAGUCGAACGCGAAAGGGACUUCGGUCCUGAGUAAAGUGGCGCACGGGUGAGUAACGCGUAGAUAACCUGCUUUAUGUCUGGAAUAAUACGCCGAAAGGGGUACUAAUACCGGAUAUUUUUGCAUUGCAUAAGCAGUGUAAGCAAAGGUGGCCUCUGACAUAAGCUACUGCAUAAAGAGGGGUCUGCGUACCAUUAGCUAGUAGGUGGGGUAAAGGCCUACCUAGGCUACGAUGGUUAGCGGGUCUGAGAGGAUGAUCCGCCACACUGGCACUGGAACACGGGCCAGACUCCUACGGGAGGCAGCAGUGAGGAAUAUUGCGCAAUGGGGGCAACCCUGACGCAGCGACGCCGCGUGAGUGAAGGAAGGCCUUCGGGUCGUAAAGCUCUGUCAAAGGGAAAGAAGUGCAUGGUGGUUAAUACCUGCCAUGUUUGACGGUACCCUUAAAGGAAGCACCGGCUAACUCCGUGCCAGCAGCAGC
rnacentral:rRNA from 1 species